GCCUCUUUAGCUCAGUUGGCCAGAGCACGUGAUUUGUAAUCUCGGGGUCGUUGGUUCGAA
rnacentral:tRNA from 1 species